rnacentral:lncRNA from 1 species
UAGAGCUUGGCAAGCCUCCCCUAUAAAUAUGGGAUGGCAUUUGUAGAACACGAAGAAAAUACUACAACAAGCAACUCAAGCAUUGUAUUUAUCUCUUAAGUGCAAUACAAGUUUCUCAUUUGGCUCCAUUGCUUUCUUCUCUAGUUCGAGAGGCUCUAGGCUUACUUAGCAACAUUCGGCAAAGUUGUCUAAGUGCCGC